AUCCUGGCUCAGAUUGAACGCUGGCGGCAUGCUUUACACAUGCAAGUCGAACGGCAGCGGGGGCUUCGGCCUGCCGGCGAGUGGCGAACGGGUGAGUAAUGCAUCGGAACGUGCCCAUGUCGUGGGGGAUAACGUAUCGAAAGGUACGCUAAUACCGCAUACGUCCUGAGGGAGAAAGCGGGGGACCGUAAGGCCUCGCGCGAUUGGAGCGGCCGAUGUCGGAUUAGCUAGUUGGUGAGGUAAAGGCUCACCAAGGCGACGAUCCGUAGCGGGUCUGAGAGGAUGAUCCGCCACACUGGGACUGAGACACGGCCCAGACUCCUACGGGAGGCAGCAGUGGGGAAUUUUGGACAAUGGGCGCAAGCCUGAUCCAGCCAUGCCGCGUGAGUGAAGAAGGCCUUCGGGUUGUAAAGCUCUUUCGGCCGGGAAGAAAUCGUGUUCUCUAACAUAGGACAUGGAUGACGGUACCGGACUAAGAAGCACCGGCUAACUACGUGCCAGCAGCCGCGGUAAUACGUAGGGUGCGAGCGUUAAUCGGAAUUACUGGGCGUAAAGCGUGCGCAGGCGGUUUUGUAAGACAGAUGUGAAAUCCCCGGGCUUAACCUGGGAACUGCGUUUGUGACUGCAAGGCUGGAGUACGGCAGAGGGGGGUGGAAUUCCACGUGUAGCAGUGAAAUGCGUAGAGAUGUGGAGGAACACCGAUGGCGAAGGCAGCCCCCUGGGCCUGUACUACGCUCUGCC
rnacentral:rRNA from 1 species